rnacentral:rRNA from 1 species
AACGAACGCUGGCGGCAUGCCUAACACAUGCAAGUCGAACGAGACCUUCGGGUCUAGUGGCGCACGGGUGCGUAACGCGUGGGAACCUGCCCUUAGGUUCGGAAUAACUCCCCGAAAGGGGUGCUAAUACCGGAUAAUGUCUUCGGACCAAAGAUUUAUCGCCUUUGGAUGGGCCCGCGUUGGAUUAGCUAGUUGGUAGGGUUAAAGCCUACCAAGGCGACGAUCCAUAGCUGGUCUGAGAGGAUGAUCAGCCACACUGGGACUGAGACACGGCCCAGACUCCUACGGGAGGCAGCAGUGGGGAAUAUUGGACAAUGGGCGAAAGCCUGAUCCAGCAAUGCCGCGUGAGUGAUGAGGGCCUUAGGGUUGUAAAGCUCUUUUACCCGGGAUGAUAAUGACAGUACCGGGAGAAUAAGCUCCGGCUAACUCCGUG